rnacentral:piRNA from 1 species
UCCUUCUGUGACCUUUGCUUUUUAAUGC